GUGCCCGUGGGAUGAAUAGGUCCCAACAUUUACUUCCAUUUACUUCAAUUUGUCAGCUAAGAUACAUAGUUCUUUAGCUGUUCAUUAAGAAUGGGAAACAA